GUGUACCCUUUGCCAGUUGGCAUAAAGAGGCUUUUAGGAUCACAAACAGGAAAGGUCAAAAAAGACUCCCAGCACGAGACCUUAAGAAAAGCCAACAGCCGGCCGAGUGUGGAGGAAAUAACUAUGGCAAGAAUUUAACCCUCUUUCUGCUUGGAGAGAUAUUAGCAACAAAGGGCUAUUGAAUCUAUUUGCAAGGAAGGGAUCCUGCAAGCACCUCAGUCUUCUGCCUCAGCAUUUCUUUCCAGACUUCUAUCUUCCCAUUCAUAUGCUGAGAUUCCUCCAGAGAGUUUUCUUUCAGGGAUUUCUUCUUGAAAUAUUCCUGCACUCCCUCCAAAGGUUAA